UCCAGCAGCUCUACGUGAAGGUGAGAGAACCCCCCAAUCCCCAUCCAUGCUUGAGAAGCUCAGCAGGUGUGAGCCUGGUCAGUACCUGGAUGAGAGACCUCCUGGGAAAAACUAAGGCUGCUGCUGGAA
rnacentral:rRNA from 1 species